rnacentral:rRNA from 1 species
UCUUAAUGGGGUGACUGCGUACCUUUUGUAUAAUGGGUCAGCGACUUAUAUUCUGUAGCAAGGUUAACCGAAUAGGGGAGCCGAAGGGAAACCGAGUCUUAACUGGGCGUUAAGUUGCAGGGUAUAGACCCGAAACCCGGUGAUCUAGCCAUGGGCAGGUUGAAGGUUGGGUAACACUAACUGGAGGACCGAACCGACUAAUGUUGAAAAAUUAGCGGAUGACUUGUGGCUGGGGGUGAAAGGCCAAUCAAACCGGGAGAUAGCUGGUUCUCCCCGAAAGCUAUUUAGGUAGCGCCUCGUGAAUUCAUCUCCGGGGGUAGAGCACUGUUUCGGCAAGGGGGUCAUCCCGACUUACCAACCCGAUGCAAACUGCGAAUACCGGAGAAUGUUAUCACGGGAGACACACGGCGGGUGCUAACGUCCGUCGUGAAGAGGGAAACAACCCAGACCGCCAGCUAAGGUCCCAAAGUCAUGGUUAAGUGGGAAACGAUGUGGGAAGGCCCAGACAGCCAGGAUGUUGGCUUAGAAGCAGCCAUCAUUUAAAGAAAGCGUAAUAGCUCACUGGUCGAGUCGGCCUGCGCGGAAGAUGUAACGGGGCUAAACCAUG